rnacentral:rRNA from 1 species
GCUUGUCUCAAAGAUUAAGCCAUGCAUGUUCAAGUAUAGCAAGUGUACAGUGAAACUGCGAAUGGCUCAUUAAAACAGUUAUAGUUUAUUUGAUAAUCGAAUUUUACAUGGAUAACCGUGGUAAUUCUAGAGCUAAUACAUGCUGUUUAGCCUGACUUCUAGGAAGGGCUGUAUUUAUUAGAUAACAAACCAAUAUUCCUCGUGUCUAUUGUGAUGACUCAUAAUAACUGAUCGAAUCGCAUGGGCUUUGCCCGCGAUACAUCAUUCAAGUUUCUGCCCCAUCAGCUUUCGAUGGUAGUGUAUUGGACUACCAUGGCUUUAACGGGUAACGGAGGAUUAGGGUUCGAUUCCGGAGAGGGAGCCUGAGAAACGGCUACCACAUCUAAGGAAGGCAGCAGG